AAUGAACGCUGGCGGCAGGCCUAACACAUGCAAGUCGAACGAGUGGCGGACGGGUGAGUAAUGUCGGGGAAAAUGCCUGAUGGAGGGGGAUAAAUACGGGAAACGGUAGCUAAUACCGCAUACCAUCGGAUGGGGCCAGAUGGGAUUAGCGAGUGGGUGGGGGAAAGGCUCACCUAGGAGACGAUCCCUAGCUGGUCUGAGAGGAUGACCACCCCCCCUGGAACUGAGACCCGGUCCAGCCUCCUACGGUAGGCAGCAGUGGUGAAUAUUGCACAAUGGGCGCAAGCCUGAUACAGCCAUGCCGCUUGUAUGAAGAAGGCCUUCGGGUUGUAAUGUACUUUCAGCGGGUAGGCGUUACCCGCACAAGAAGCACCGGCUAACUCCGUGCCAGCAGCCGCGGUAAUAC
rnacentral:rRNA from 1 species